rnacentral:sRNA from 1 species
UGCCUUAGAAUAUCCCAGAGGAUAGGCACAGUGUUCUCUUUCUAGAAUUUAUUUAGCAAUAAAAAUGAACCGAUCCUUAAGUUAAUCAAAAUAAAGCACUUGACACAUUUUCUUCCAUGCUUUUGUUUUAUAGGGAGGCCUUUGUCUUUUCUAUCUGUUCGAGCUCAUAACACUUCCUCCGACAUUGCACUGUCUGUUGCCUUCAUUUUCUCCUGGCUGGAUGGGCUGAGAGAAGAGGGAUGUGGGAGUGCCGUGUGUGGGGAUUAGCUGCCUAGAGUGCUGAAGAUCUGGUGUAAUGAUUCACAAUGGCUUGUGUUUCUAGGCAGUGGACCAAUCCAGCUGUGGCAGUUUCUUCUGGAAUUACUCACUGAUAAAUCCUGUCAGUCUUUUAUCAGCUGGACAGGAGAUGGCUGGGAAUUCAAACUUUCUGACCCAGAUGAGGUGGCCAGGAGAUGGGGAAAGAGGAAAAACAAA